rnacentral:rRNA from 1 species
UACGGGGGGGGCAAGCGUUGUUCGGAAUUACUGGGCGUAAAGGGCUCGUAGGCGGCCAACUAAGUCGGAUGUGAAAUCCCCAAGCUUAACUUGGGAACUGCAUCCGAUACUGGAUGGCUUGAAUCCGGGAGAGGGAUGCAGAAUUCCAGGUGUAGCGGUGAAAUGCGUAGAUAUCUGGAGGAAUACCGGUGGCGAAGGCGGCAUCCUGGACCGGCAUUGACGCUGAGGAGCGAAAGCAUGGGGGAGCGAACAGGA